rnacentral:rRNA from 1 species
CUUCGGGUUAGUGGCGGACGGGUGAGUAACGCGUGGGAAUCUGCCCUCAGGAGGGGGAUAACGGUUGGAAACGGCCGCUAAUACCCCAUAUGCCGCGAGGUGAAAUGAAUUUCGCCUGAGGAUGAGCCCGCGUCUGAUUAGCUAGUUGGUGGGGUAAAGGCCUACCAAGGCGACGAUCAGUAGCUGGUCUGAGAGGAUGAUCAGCCACACUGGGACUGAGACACGGCCCAGACUCCUACGGGAGGCAGCAGUGGGGAAUUUUCCGCAAUGGGCGAAAGCCUGACGGAGCAACGCCGCGUGAGGGAUGAAGGCCUCUGGGCUGUAAACCUCUUUUCUCAAGGAAGAAGAUCUGACGGUACUUGAGGAAUAAGCCACGGCUAAUUCCGUGCCAGCAGCCGCGGUAAUACGGGAGUGGCAAGCGUUAUCCGGAAUUAUUGGGCGUAAAGCGUCCGCAGGCGGCCCUGUAAGUCUGCUGUCAAAGCGUGGAGCUCAACUCCAUUUCGGCAGUGGAAACUACAGGGCUUGAGUGUGGUAGGGGCAGAGGGAAUUCCCGGUGUAGCGGUGAAAUGCGUAGAUAUCGGGAAGAACACCAGUGGCGAAGGCGCUCUGCUGGGCCAUAACUGACGCUCAUGGACGAAAGCCAGGGGAGCGAAAGGGAUUAGAUACCCCUGUAGUCCUGGCCGUAAACGAUGAACACUAGGUGUCGGGGGAAUCGACCCCCUCGGUGUCGUAGCCAACGCGUUAAGUGUUCCGCCUGGGGAGUACGCACGCAAGUGUGAAACUCAAAGGAAUUGACGGGGGCCCGCACAAGCGGUGGAGUAUGUGGUUUAAUUCGAUGCAACGCGAAGAACCUUACCAGGGUUUGACAUCCUGCGAAUCCCUUGGAAACGAGGGAGUGCCUUCGGGAGCGCAGAGACAGGUGGUGCAUGGCUGUCGUCAGCUCGUGUCGUGAGAUGUUGGGUUAAGUCCCGCAACGAGCGCAACCCACGUCGUUAGUUGCCAGCAUUCAGUUGGGCACUCUAGCGAGACCGCCGGUGAUAAACCGGAGGAAGGUGUGGAUGACGUCAAGUCAUCAUGCCCCUUACAUCCUGGGCUACACACGUACUACAAUGCUACGGACAAAGGGCAGCAAACUCGCGAGGGUUAGCAAAUCCCAUAAACCGUGGCUCAGUUCAGAUCGUAGGCUGCAACUCGCCUACGUGAAGGAGGAAUCGCUAGUAAUCGCAGGUCAGCAUACUGCGGUGAAUACGUUCCCGGGCCUUGUACACACCGCCCGUCACACCAUGGAAGUUGGCCAUGCCCGAAGUCGUUACUCCAACCCUUGUGGAGGAGGACGCCGAAGGUGGGGCUGAUGACUGGGGUGAAGUCGUAACAAGGUAGCCGUACCGGAAGGUGC